GACGAACGCUGGCGGCGUGCUUAACACAUGCAAGUCGAACGGAAAGGCCCUUCGGGGUCCUCGAGUGGCGAACGGGUGAGUAACACGUGGGUGAUCUGCCCUGCACUUUGGGAUAAGCCUGGGAAACUGGGUCUAAUACCGAAUAGGACCACGCGCUUCAUGGUGUGUGGUGGAAAGCUUUUGCGGUGUGGGAUGGGCCCGCGGCCUAUCAGCUUGUUGGUGGGGUAAUGGCCUACCAAGGCGACGACGGGUAGCCGGCCUGAGAGGGUGACCGGCCACACUGGGACUGAGAUACGGCCCAGACUCCUACGGGAGGCAGCAGUGGGGAAUAUUGCACAAUGGGCGCAAGCCUGAUGCAGCGACGCCGCGUGAGGGAUGACGGCCUUCGGGUGGUAAACCUCUUUCAAUAGGGACGAAGCGCAAGUGACGGUACCUAUAGAAGAAGCACCGGCCAACUACGUG
rnacentral:rRNA from 1 species